GGGUCAGUAGGUUGGUCGUGCCACCGGUACGUACUGGUCUCACUGAUUCCUCCUUCCUGAAGAACCGUAAUGCCAUUAAUUUGGUGUUGCGGGGAAACAGGACUGUUACUUUGAAAAAAUUAGAGUGUUUAAAGCAAGCUAACACUCGAAUACAUUAGCAUGGAAUAAUGAAAUAGGACGAUCGAUCCUAUUUUGUUGGUUUCUAGGAUUGACGUA
rnacentral:rRNA from 1 species